GAAGUUAGCUCUGAACUCUGAAUUGAAACAAACCCAGUAACUCUUUGUGGGAGAGGACACGGAGAUGCGCUCUCUGACGUGGUUGUGCAGGUUACCUUAUCCCAGGCUCACCUUCCCCUAGUCACUGCCAGCGGAAGGCAGAGAAGAGAAAGGCUGAUGCUCGCUGUUUGUGCAGAGGAAACAAUGACGCGAGUUCCCUGGACACCGAGAAGAGCGAGGACUAGAGUCAGACUUCUAGUCUGUGUCCCCUGCGAGGAUUUGAAGGUGGAGAUCUCCUGAACUUACCCGGGUGUGGAGAAAGACACAGUAAAAAGCUUUGAAGCAAGGUUCUUUUCCUUGGCUACCUCCUGGGGCUGCUCAGAAAGCCCUCAAGUGACCAGAAAGGCUGAACUUCAGAACCCUCUGAAGUAGCAACAACAUAAACAGAUGGAGUCCCAUGUAGCCCCAGCUAGCCUUAAACACUUUAUCCUUCUGCCUUCAUCUCCCAAGUGUUGGGCUUAUAGUUUUGAGUUCCCGAUUGACCAGAAAAUUGACAAGUACUGCCCAGAUUGGAUCAGUGGACAGGAAGGAACCAGAGAAAUGACUGGGUUUCAUGACUACUUUGGACUCUGUCACUGGAAAGGACAAUUGUCAUGAUUUACUCCUCCCGAAGACAUGCCUGGCUAGGAUGGCUUCCUAUCCACGAGCCAGGAUGGAAGAGAAGCAACUAAGAGGUUUGAGAAGCGACCCACAUUUUCCCACGUGUGCUCACAUUGCAGCAGCCUUGCAGGUACUGCCCUUUCUAGGCAGGUUGCAGUUAGUUCCUUCAAAUAUACACUAGCAGCGGAAGAUUUCCUAUCCUGCCACCAAACCCAUGUUCACCCAAAAAAAAACUGCCACUUCCCAAUCUUGAAGGUCCUAGGAACAUAGAGCACAUAGGUAAUAUACGCUAUCUUGACACUUGAAAUGUAUUUUUCUUCUUAAGAAGUAAAAACGCAUUUCAUACUUGGUUAACUAAUGACAAACAUUUGUUCUGAACAUCCUGUAAGUUGUUAUUCAGAGUACAAUACUUAGAGGUUUUAUGAGUCACAGGCCAGGUGUGGCCUUUCCACGCUCAACAAUCAGUAAUGAAUUCUUAGGUAGUUUAGUUUUCCAAAUAACCACGUGUGGCUGACUUAUUUUAAAAAGAGUCUUGGGAAGAGUCUUGCACCAGAGGAUCUGUUAUAAUAUAAUAUUUUUUAUAAAGCUUACUUACUUUAUCACGAGACCCUUCUGAGAAGAGAACUAAGAAUGCUUAAGUCUUGACUUGAAAGGAGUGGCGAGUCUAUGCGUGAGCUUUUCACUCAUUACCCUUGACUUUGAGGCCAAAGGUCAGUCCUGUUGUUGGCGUUGAGUUCUCCAGGUGUAGGCCUGGAGGGAAAGGCAACAGUUUGGAGUACCAUUUACUAAGCAGGUAUAAUCACCUGAAGUGUUGACUCUGUGUCAUCCUGGAAUUGACAGCAGCUGGGAGGAAGCAAAUAGGUUGUACUAAUGCAGGCAGUGACAGCUUCCUCCCAUGUGACACUCUACAGCUACCUCACAGAGAGGUUUUAAAGCUCGCCUUUCUGGGGAACUAAUGAAAUGGUGUCACUAUGUAAGGAAAUGGGGACCCCGAGGGCAGAAGGAAGCCUUUAAAGGAGCUGAAGAUUCCACCUGGAAGCUGAGGUAACCCGGAACACAGAUGCCCAACAUCAUCAAAGUGCAUCCACAAUUGUGCAGAGGGAAGAUGGUUGGCCUCCCACUACUAGGCUAUCUAAUAAUUGCUUUCUGAGACAGGGAUCAUUUUAAUUCUUGCACUUAUUAUUUUGUUUCUCAAUUGAUUUAUUUAACCAGCAAUUAUUGACCACCUAAGCACUAUAGGCUCUAGAGGUGUGGAGAUGAGAGAAACACAUCCCCAAGGAACUCAUAGGCUGGCAAAUAGAAGAGCCACGGAAACAACAAGGCAAUGAGUCAAGAGCCAUGAGAAAGAGAUGAUGGUCUAACAAUGACCAAUGGCAAAAUCUGCAAUAAUAGUCAAUGGAUUUCAGAAUUUAAAGCAUGACAUGGAACCUAAUCUAUUGACUCCAAAAGUAACUGAACUAGAGACUACUACUUCAGGUGUAUAUCACUUUACUAAGUACAGGGAAAAAAAUAAAAUUCAUAUAGUAAAAGAAAAAUUUCCAGGCACAACUCUCUAGCCUGCUCCUUGCUUUUCAUGGUUGCCUCAU